rnacentral:rRNA from 1 species
UCGGGUUGUAAAGCACUUUUGUCCGGAAAGAAAACGUUCUGGUUAAUACCUGGAGCGGAUGACGGUACCGGAAGAAUAAGCACCGGCUAACUACGUGCCAGCAGCGCGGUAAUCGUAGGGUGCGAGCGUUAAUCGGAAUUACUGGGCGUAAAGGGUGCGCAGGCGGUUUGCUAAGACCGAUGUGAAAUCCCCGGGCUUAACCUGGGAACUGCAUUGGUGACUGGCAGGCUAGAGUAUGGCAGAGGGGGGUAGAAUUCCACGUGUAGCAGUGAAAUGCGUAGAGAUGUGGAGGAAUACCGAUGGCGAAGGCAGCCCCCUGGGCCAAUACUGACGCUCAUGCACGAAAGCGUGGGGAGCAAACAGGAUUAGAUACCCUGGUAGUCCACGCCCUAAACGAUGUCAACUAGUUGUCGGGUCUUCAUUGACUUGGUAACGAAGCUAACGCGUGAAGUUGACCGCCUGGGGAGUACGGUCGCAAGAUUAAAACUCAAAGGAAUUGACGGGGACCCGCACAAGCGGUGGAUGAUGUGGAUUAAUUCGAUGCAACGCGAAAAACCUUACCUACCCUUGACAUGUACGGAACCUUGCCG